UACGUAGGGUGCGAGCGUUAAUCGGAAUUACUGGGCGUAAAGCGUGCGCAGGCGGUUCGUUAAGUUCGUUGUGAAAGCCCCGGGCUCAACCUGGGAACUGCAAUGGAAACUGGCGGGCUUGAAUGCGGCAGAGGGGGGUGGAAUUCCGCGUGUAGCAGUGAAAUGCGUAGAUAUGCGGAGGAACACCGAUGGCGAAGGCAAUCCCCUGGGCCUGUACUGACGCUCAUGCACGAAAGCGUGGGGAGCAAACAGG
rnacentral:rRNA from 1 species